rnacentral:rRNA from 1 species
AUGGCCGAAACUUUGUUUUUCAUGCAGGUGGUUGCUGAGAACAUGUUGGGUGACAAGAAAGUCACAGUAGUAUUUGUUCUUGGUGGUCCUGGAAGUGGAAAGGGCACACAGUGUUCCAACAUUGUUGAACACUUUGGAUUCACCCAUCUUAGUGCUGGAGAUCUUUUGCGCGCGGAGAUUAAAUCUGGUUCUGAGAAUGGAACUAUGAUUGAGAACAUGAUAAAGGAGGGAAAGAUUGUUCCGUCGGAGGUGACUAUAAAGCUCUUGCAGCAAGCCAUGAUAAAGAAUGAGAAUGAUAAGUUCCUCAUUGACGGGUUUCCAAGGAAUGAAGAGAAUCGUGCUGCGUUCGAGAAUGUUACAAAAAUUUCGCCUGCAUUUGUGCUAUUCUUCAAUUGUUCUGAGGAAGAGAUGGAAAGACGUCUUUUGGGACGCAAUGAGGGUAGAGUUGAUGACAACAUCGAGACUAUCAGGAAGAGAUUCAAAGUUUUUGUUGAAUCCAGUUUGCCUGUGAUUGAGUACUAUGACGCGAAGGACAAGGUUAAGAAGAUCGAUGCUGCAAAACCAAUUCCUGAGGUGUUUGAAGAUGUCAAAGCCAUUUUUGCCCCAUAUGCCAAGGCUACAUAG